GAUGAACGCUGGCGGCGUGCCUAAUACAUGCAAGUCGAGCGAACGGACGAGAAGCUUGCUUCUCUGAUGUUAGCGGCGGACGGGUGAGUAACACGUGGAUAACCUACCUAUAAGACUGGGAUAACUUCGGGAAACCGGAGUUAAUACCGGAUAAUAUUUUGAACCGCAUGGUUCAAAAGUAAAAGACGGUCUUGCUGUCACUUAUAGAUGGAUCCGCGCUGCAUUAGCUAGUUGGUAAGGUAACGGCUUACCAAGGCAACGAUGCAUAGCCGACCUGAGAGGGUGAUCGGCCACACUGGAACUGAGACACGGUCCAGACUCCUACGGGAGGCAGCAGUAGGGAAUCUUCCGCAAUGGGCGAAAGCCUGACGGAGCAACGCCGCGUGAGUGAUGAAGGUCUUCGGAUCGUAAAACUCUGUUAUUAGGGAAGAACAUAUGUGUAAGUAACUGUGCACAUCUUGACGGUACCUAAUCAGAAAGCCACGGCUAACUACGUG
rnacentral:rRNA from 1 species